rnacentral:tRNA from 1 species
GCGCUCGUAGCUCAGCUGGAUAGAGCACUGGUUUCCGGUACCAGGAGUCGGGGGUUCAAGUCCUCCCGGGCGCGCUA